rnacentral:rRNA from 1 species
UACGGAGGGUGCAAGCGUUAUCCGGAUUUAUUAGGUUUAAAGGGUGUGUAGGCGGACUUUUAAGUCAGUGGUGAAAUCCCGGGGCUCAACUCCGGAACUGCCAUUGAUACUGAAAGUCUUGAGUACAGUUGAAGUAGGCGGAAUGUGUAAUGUAGCGGUGAAAUGCUUAGAUAUUACACAGAACACCGAUUGCGAAGGCAGCUUACUAAGCUGUUACUGACGCUGAUGCACGAAAGCGUGGGGAGCGAACAGG